UUUUCAAUUCACCAUAUGUCUGCCAGCAGAAAGGAUCAUAGAGAUGGUUUUGUUCUUGAAGUGGUUUCAACUCAACAGCCGUUAAAGAAACAUCUACACAAGGAAGGCUAUCACUGCAGGCAAAGUUGACUGGCAUAACUGUGUAUGUCCCCCUUAUCCUUUCAUAGUUGAUUCCAGCCAGAGAAACAGCUGAUGUUUGGUUUUUGCAGGUUCUUUUGUCGCAGUAGAAUUGAUCGAUCACAAUUGGGAAUUGAACUUCAGAAACUUGUAUAUUUGAGAAUAGUAUUCCUUGCACAGAGCCUGACCCUCCCUGCAGUGCAGAUGUACAUGUUAAUGUGUAAGAGAUCAUAAUUUUCCACCAUUUUCUAGAGCUGGAAAUGAUGGCAGAACUUGGAUUGAAUGAGAACUUUGUGACAUUUGAUUGAAUCAUAUUUAGCGUUGAUAAAAAAAUCACAAAUGUUUAAUUAAUUGGAUUGCAGGCUACAAGAACACACAAUUUUUACUGCAUCUUAGAGUAGCUAUCAAGUUUGGCAAUUUCUCAUGUUACCCGAAAAAUCAUGUAAAAAUAAGUUGAACGUUUAAAAUUGAUUUCCAAUGUACUCAUUUGUGCUCCCAGAACUAAUUCAGUUAACAGAUUAUUGACUUCAUUGUAAUGACCAUUCUUUAAAAUGGUAACCACUUCAGGGUAUAAAAUGAUUCUGAAGUCAAAUUUUCCGUUUGACUUAGAAACAGAUACUUUACUUUGUGAGCUUAAUCUUGGAAAAUGCAUUGCGUUUCUUAUACUUUACCUGCCAUGUUUUGAUUCUGACGCCAGUCAUUGUGUUGUGCAUGUUCACAUCCCUGACAGUAAUGUUGGAAACACAGGCUCUGGUGUUAUCCUUUCCUAGACUUCCAAUGCUGAUUCCAUGCCCUGGUCCACAGUUGACAUUGUGUAC
rnacentral:lncRNA from 1 species